rnacentral:snRNA from 1 species
GGAAGUGAGAGCGAUCUGGCCGCGACAUCUGUCACCCGGGUGAUCUCCAGGGUUGAUCUGGCUGAUCAGGCCAACCAGGUGGUGUCUCCUCCCUCCCGUAACGCUCCGCGUGCACCCUCCUGAAGCUGCGCGCUCGGUCGGAGAGGACGACCAACCGAUAGAGGAGCUGGGCUCCCCUGCUAGAACCUUCAAACAAGCUCUCAAAAUAAAGUAAGUGGUUGUCCAGUCCUCUGGAUGACCGAGAAACAUGAGAGUCUGUUUCGAGGUCACUUCUGUUCCUC